rnacentral:rRNA from 1 species
GAUGAACGCUGGCGGCGUGCCUAAUACAUGCAAGUCGAGCGAACAGACGAGGAGCUUGCUCCUCUGACGUUAGCGGUGGACGGGUGAGUAACACGUGGAUAACCUACCUAUAAGACUGGGAUAACUUCGGGAAACCGGAGCUAAUACCGGAUAAUAUAUUGAACCGCAUGGUUCAAUAGUGAAAGACGGUUUUGCUGUCACUUAUAGAUGGAUCCGCGCCGCAUUAGCUAGUUGGUAAGGUAACGGCUUACCAAGGCAACGAUGCGUAGCCGACCUGAGAGGGUGAUCGGCCACACUGGAACUGAGACACGGUCCAGACUCCUACGGGAGGCAGCAGUAGGGAAUCUUCCGCAAUGGGCGAAAGCCUGACGGAGCAACGCCGCGUGAGUGAUGAAGGUCUUCGGAUCGUAAAACCCUGUUAUUAGGGAAGAACAAAUGUGUAAGUAACUAUGCACGUCUUGACGGUACCUAAUCAGAAAGCCACGGCUAACUACGUG